GACGAACGCUGGCGGCGUGCUUAACACAUGCAAGUCGAACGGAAAGGCCCUGCUUUUGUGGGGUGCUCGAGUGGCGAACGGGUGAGUAACACGUGAGUAACCUGCCCUUGACUUUGGGAUAACUUCAGGAAACUGGGGCUAAUACCGGAUAGGAGCUCCUGCUGCAUGGUGGGGGUUGGAAAGUUUCGGCGGUUGGGGAUGGACUCGCGGCUUAUCAGCUUGUUGGUGGGGUAGUGGCUUACCAAGGCUUUGACGGGUAGCCGGCCUGAGAGGGUGACGCGAGACUGGGGGGGUGAGAGGGCGGCGAGGGGCACCCGGGGGGCAGGGGGGGGGGAUAGGGCAAAAAGGGCGGGGGGCGGCAGCAGUAGCGCCGGGUGGGGAAUGGGGGGCUGCGGGGUGAAAAACGGCUUCGCCGGUGACGAGGGGUGAGGGGCGGUAAUGGGUAAAGACCCGCGCGCAAACGGGG
rnacentral:rRNA from 1 species